rnacentral:lncRNA from 1 species
UAGCAGAGGACUCACACCUGGGGACAAAGUGUAACCUUCCUGAGGGAGAAAAGGCAGGUUUCCCGCAGAAGCUCCUGCUUUACCAACUCAUACAUUAAAAGCCUCCGGAUUUGGCUUUUAUGAGUAACUAUAUUACUUCCCUCAGUGACAAGUGUUGCAAAUUGAGUAAAUAGUAGCAAGAAAAAAAUCAUUUAUAUUUUGACACCUCCUCCUCUAUUAAUUCACGAGUUCCUUCCUCGUUUAGCUUGCCAAGGAAGAACAAAAGAAGCGAGGCAGCCAUAAGGGAAAUAGCGUAAAGGGCUGAGCACUGAAGAGCUUGGUGGCAUUUCGCAUUUCACAGACAGACAUUAAACAUCUGCUGCCUUUCUGCUCAGCCGGCAACCACCCCGGCCAGCCGCGGCCCGCCGGGGACACGGCAGCGCCCCGCUUCCCUCAGCGCUUCUCCCCGCAGAGCUCUGUGACCUUGGCGGGGCAGCCGCGGGCAGCACAAAUGCCAAACGCCACCUGUGCCACCGCCCCCGAGCUCAGCGAGUGCCUGAUAACGGGACUGCACACACCGUGUGCCCACAAGAGUCCCCGUGGCUCUGUUCGGGUUUCAGCCCUGUCUCCGUGAGGUGAGGUGGCUGACAGGUGUCCAAGAGGAGGUGAAAUUUAGGAGGAUGACACAAAAUGUAUCAGGGAAACUUGCAUUACUCCUUAUCGCAUCACCCUUUCUUCCCGUGCCACGGAGAUAACACACACACCUGCUGCUCAGAGAGGAGGCCACUCACGGGCUGUCAUAUUACCCAGGUAAUUGUUCCUUAACUACAGUUAAAACUACUCUUUCCAGGUACCAAUAUCCUUGCUCCAAAAUAUCUCUCAAAGAUGACAGAAAAAAAAAAUUGCUGUAAUCAAUAACACUUGAAAUUUCUCAGCUUGCUGUAAUACUGCUUGGCUGCAAAUUGGAGGGGAAGAAAAAAAACCCACUUUGCUUUUUCUAUUGUUAGACCAGGCAAUUUACAAAGUUCAUC